AUGGCUCAGGACGAACGCUGGCGGCACGCUUAACACAUGCAAGUCGAACGGGGUUAAUUCCUUCGGGGAUUAACUUAGUGGCGGACGGGUGAGUAACACGUGAGCAACCUGCCUUCAAGCGAGGAAUAAUGAGUGGAAACGCUCUGUAAUACCUCAUAACGUAUUUUUUACCGCAUGAUAGGAAUACCAAAGAUUUAUCACUUGAAGAUGGGCUCGCGUCCGAUUAGCUAGUUGGUGAGGUAACGGCUCACCAAGGCGACGAUCGGUAGCCGUACUGAGAGGUAGAUCGGCCACAUUGGGACUGAGACACGGCCCAGACUCCUACGGGAGGCAGCAGUGGGGAAUAUUGCACAAUGGAGGAAACUCUGAUGCAAGCGAUGCCGCGUGAGCGAAGAAGGCCUUUUGGUUGUAAAGCUCUGUUAUCAGGGACGAAAAUGACGGUACCUGAGGAGGAAGCUCCGGCUAACUACGUGCCAGCCGCAGC
rnacentral:rRNA from 1 species